CCUCGCUCUUCAUCAUCUGCCGUCGCGCCUCUCUCCCUCGUCCUAGCAUGGAACGCGGUUCCAAGGCAGCGCCUCCCUCAGCGAAUGGCGGUGAGGUUAUACUCUAUUCAGGAGCCAUUGUACAUGCUUUGUGUUGGCUUUGGUGUUUCCAAAUGAAUGUUGUUGGAAGUCAUGUAAGAUUAAUGGCAACAAUCACAUGAUUGAAAACUUGAUUGGUUAAUUAGGACAUGGUUAAUUAUUUCUGCAUCUUUCUUUCUUGAAAGAUGUAAUUUUUGCGGUGUUCAAAGGUACAAUUUUCUAUUCAAUAUUUACUUAUUUCAUAGACUGUUAUUUGAAAUUUUCAUGGUUUUGUGAUUUGAUUGUGAACGAGAUUAAUCUAACAUAUGUAUCCUUUUAAGUUAUGCUCAUUCAAGUGAUUCCUUGGUAUUUUAUUUGUCGUAUCCCCGCUUCGGGUCGACGCCGCCGUCGCGGCUCCUCCACACCAUGGCCGACGUAUGCUCGGCGGCGGCCUCCGACGAAACCCUAGCUGGGAGUGUUCCCAGCCGAGGAAGACCGAAGACCAAGCCACGACGGGGG